GCAGGUGUGUGUGUGUGCAUGUGCAUGUGUGCACGCUGUGAGGGUGUGGUGUCUGUAACAUGCUCCCAUGUGUCCGUGUGCCUGCUCUGCAGGGGGAAUGUUAAUGUUUGAUUGUUGUUUGGCUUCAGCCCAAAAGAGAAACAAAUAAUGAGGUGAACGGAAAUGAGCUGGAGUCUCUGCUUUCACCGCUAAUUAGCCCCUGUCGAUUUUGACGAAGAAGACAUACAAUAGACACAAGUGAGCAACGAAUGAGAAACUCAGGGACCUAGGCUGGGGAAAGGGCGUCGGGUGGGGGGUGUGUGGGCAGGGCUAGGAAGGGAAUGUCAGAAGCCGGUGUGCCUGGGUCAGGCCGACAGGUCAUUCCCACCCUUAGAUGAAAAUCUGCGCAUUAUUCCAUCUUGGCUGGCAUCUCUUAUGGGCUGGCCUUCAUCUUACUAAAGGCCAUUUCACUUUUUGAAGGGUUGACAGUUACCUUCUUCACCUUCCCCUGGGCAGUUCUUUGUUGUCUUUGUCAGGCUGGCCCCUGUCCAUAUUUCUCAGAGCCCUGAUCACAGCUCUCUUACUCACCAGCUGCUCAGACAAACCCAGACUUGACCUGGCUCUGCACUUCAGCAUGUUGCCUGCUGCUCCUUAGACUCUUCUCUUGCUACCUGUGAAAGGUCAGAUGCAGAAUGGUGAAGGCAGAAACAGACUGUUUGAUGACAAGAUUUCUCAGGUCCUGCCCAAAUCUAUGGAAUCAGAAUUUCUGGAGCAGUCCACAGGAAUCGGCAUUUUACCAAUCCCUCUGCUACCUCCUCCUCUAAGAUCCGAAGUCAGAUGGUUCACAGAACACAUAUCAUAAAACGUGGUGCUGACGGAGGCCUUGGGCCCUUGUCUUGCUCGCUCAGGCUGCUAUAACAAAACACUGUAAACUGGAUGACUUAUAAACAACAGCAAUUUAAUUCUCACAGUUCUGGAGGCUCCAAGUCCAAGAUCGGAUUUGGUUUCUGGGAAGGAAGAGCUGAAGGACCCUGGGGAUGAUUGAACAUAGCCUCUCACCAGCACGCUCAGGAAUUGUCCUGAGAGCAGCAGGAGGAGUGGUAAUCCUGCAAGAGAAGGUGGCUUUGUUGAGAGCCUUUAAAUUCAGCUUUAUUACUCGCCAGUCUCCUUCCUUGUGUUCUGGCCAUAUUUCUUAUCCAUUAGGCAGCCAGCUCUUCACAUGAGAUCCUCCUGGUUUUGCAUUCUUUUCUGCAAUGCUGACACUUCCUUCUAGUUACACCCUUUGGCACUCUAAUCUGUGGUCUUAGUUUUAGUCACUGAUGAAGAUACUUGGCACAUUAACUCUUAUUUCAGUUAACACCAGAUGAAGUGAACUCAAUUCCUCUUCUCA
rnacentral:lncRNA from 1 species